AUAAUUUACAGUUGGGCUUUUGUUACAGCAGGAGCUAAUGAGAGCUGGAAUGUAGCCAAGUCUGUCUUGUAAGAGACUGUAAUUGUGACAACUUGUCAGCUCCCCUUGCCUCACAAGGAAGGUCUGUGUGCAUUCAAAUGGCAUUUGGAGUCUGAACCAAUAAGAACAGUGUUCUCAAUUCCACCAAUGGAAAGCAAACGCUGAGGAAAGCUUUGAGAUCUCCUUCAUAGCUGCUGACUCAUUUCUCCCUCCAAACUUAACGGGUGCUGCCGCAGAAACCACAGAAUAGUGUGGAUGACAAGAAAAAUAUAAUUUAUCCUAAGCACUGAAUACAAUACAAAAAAGAGAAAAGCAUCCUUGGGGAGGAGGGAAUACAUUUAGAGAUGCAUCAGGAACCAAUAAGAAGAGAGAUCUCAAACGCUGGAUUGGAAACAAAUAACUGCAGUUCUUGGAGGUCUGCGUCAGAGCUGCUGAUUCAUCUCUCUCUAUCCCCUCCCUGUUUUAUGGCAAAGCAGCAGGGAUUUUGAAUUUUAAAGUCUGAAUUAAAUGUAAUUUGCUUGCAUAUUGAUCAAAUUCUGCUUUGCUGCACUUUCUUGUUUUUUUUUUUGUUUGUUUGUUUGUUUGUGUUUAACAAGCUUAUUUCAGAUAGGUUUUCCCCUUUGACUGGAAUAUGUCAUUCUUGAAUACCUAGUCUUACAUAAUCAGAGAAAGUCAUGUUACCACACUUCUCUUAUAUCCUGAUAGUAUAGAAUACUACUAUGCCUCAUUUUGAAAUUUAAUAUGCAUCAACAUUCUAUAAGUUUACAAAUAUGCAAAUGAGCAAAUUACUGACUGAGAUGUCUCCCUGGUUGUAUACAUUAUAUCCUCAAAAGACAAAAAUACAUAAUUAAUAAACUAGGAGCCCGCACUUCUAAACAUUAUAUAAAUCACAGUGUCCUCCUCUCUCCCUAGAUAUAUAGAGUCCUCUGAGUUCCUCCAGUAUUACAAUCUAUUUUCUUCUUCUUUCUUUCUUUCUUUCUUUCUUUCUUUCUUUCUUUCUUUCUUUCUUUUGUUUUUUUUUUGUUUUUUGAGACAGGGUUUCUCUGUGUAGCUUUGGAGCCUAUCCUGGCACUGGCUCUGGAGACCAGGCUGGCCUCGCACUCACAGAGAUCACCUGCCUCUGCCUCCCGAGUGCGGGGAUUAAAGGUGUACCCCACCAAUGCCCGGCUUACAAUCUAUUUUCUGAAUACUUUGACUAUUUCCUGAAUAAAUGUCAGAAAAUGUACAAGUGCCCGUGCAUUCAAGUCACAUCCCCACACAUACAAUGCAG
rnacentral:lncRNA from 1 species